rnacentral:rRNA from 1 species
GGGAAAAGGAUUGGCUCUGAGGGUCGGGCCUAGGGGUCCCCGUGGGCCCGUUCUGCCUUGUUCGCCUGUGGCCUGCGGCUGGCCCCCCUCGUGGGGGCUGCUGCGGACGCGGUGGACGGCGGUUCGGCGUUUUCCUGCGGGGGAUGGUUCCUGGGGGAGGGCAGGGUUCUCCCUGUUCUUUUCUGGGGUUUCAGCCUUUUCCCUAGCGCAUUGAACGACCAGCUCAGAACUGGAGCGGACAAGGGAAAUCCGACUGUUUAAUUAAAACAAGCAUUGCGAGGGCCAGAGA